rnacentral:rRNA from 1 species
UACGUAGGUGACCAGCGUUGUCCGGAUUUACUGGGCGUAAAGAGCGCGCAGGCGGUCGUUCAAGUCGAGUGUGAAAUCCCUCGGCUCAACCGGGGAACUGCGUCCGAUACUGGCGGGCUUGAAUUCGGGAGAGGGAUGUGGAAUUCCAGGUGUAGCGGUGAAAUGCGUAGAUAUCUGGAGGAACACCGGUGGCGAAGGCGGCAUCCUGGACCGACAUUGACGCUGAGGCGCGAAAGCCAGGGGAGCAAACGGG